GUGGGGAAUCUUCCGCAAUGGACGAAAGUCUGACGGAGCGACGCCGCGUGAGUGAAGAAGGCCUUCGGGUCGUAAAGCUCUGUCAUCAGGGACGAACGGCCGGUGGAGUGGAAAGCCACCGGAUUGACGGUACCUGAGAAGGAAGCCACGGCUAACUACGUGCCAGCAGCCGCGGUAAUACGUAGGUGGCAAGCGUUGUCCGGAAUUAUUGGGCGUAAAGCGCGGGCAGGUGGGAUCUUAAGUCCAUUUUGAAAGUUCGGAGCUCAACUCCGUGAUGGGAUGGAAACUGGGAUUCUUGAGUACCGGAGAGGAAAGCGGAAUUCCCCGUGUAGCGGUGAAAUGCGUAGAUAUGGGGAGGAACACCAGUGGCGAAGGCGGCUUUCUGGACGGUGUCUGACACUGAGGCGCGAAAGCUAGGGGAGCGAACGGGAUUAGAAACCCGAGUAGUCC
rnacentral:rRNA from 1 species